AAAUGCUAGCAUUUUUUUUUCAGUCUAGUGACUAGUACUUUGCUCAGUGGCCAGUGCUCACAACAUACCGGUCGCGCCGCGGUAUAAACAACUUACUGGAGUUCCUGGUUCGAAUUUCGGAGAGCAAUCCUUUUAAAGAUUUCUGGGUGUAGGUACGUAGGUUUUAAAUGAGUCAAUUUUAUUUGACUAUUUUAAAAAGUUGAGCACUUUACAUGUAGAUUAGUGUGAUUACUAAAUGCCAACGUUCUGUAGUGAGUGGGAAAGAAAACCUUGAAUAAACAUGAAUGUAAUAUGAAAAGGACUUUAUAGAACGCGAGAUAAUUUCGCUUAGUAAGCUUAUGGAGGUAGAUAAAAAGAUAACACUUGAGGAAAUGAAAGAGGGUAUCAAAAUUUUUAUGGAAAACAACAAGCAUAUGGAGAAAAAGAACAGGGGCCUUGGCCACUGCUUCAAUAGUUGGACAAUUGAUCGGAUUUCCUAGCGUUUUAGUAACACGAUUCCAAGGUCUUGUGGUUUCAUCGACUGCACUACAGUCAACAGUCAACACACUCAGCGGCUCUAGCAUAUCUAUGUUUAUCCGUUGAAUACCUUACUUCCGAAAUCCCCCUUCUGGGCUUUUUUUCUUUUAUAGUAUGUACUGCUAUUAUAUUAAUUGUAAGUAUAGUGGAAGGUAUAAAAAUAGCUUGAAAGUUAUAAAUG